AUUUAUAUAGUUUAAAUAAAACAUUACUUUUUCAUUGUAAAAAUAAAAUAUUUUUUUUUAUAAAUU
rnacentral:tRNA from 1 species